AUUGGUAUCACAGGAUCACACCUUCAUCUGGCAGUAGGUUGAGGUCAGUAACUCAGCUCACAUGACAUUUAAAACCACACAACACUACCAGAGAGAGCUACAGGUUCAGAUGCCAAUGGUUUCAAAAAACCAUGAUUCAGGCCGGGUGCAGUGGUUCACGCCUGUAAACCCAGCACUUUGGGAGGCCGAGGCAGGUGGAUCACAAGGUCAGGAGUUUGAGACCAGCCUGGCCAACAUGGUGAAAUCCUGUUUCUACUAAAAACACAAAAAUUAGCCAGGCACGGUGGUGCGUGCCUGUAAUCUCAGCUACUCGGGAGGCUGAGGCAGGACAAUCGCUUGAAUCUGGGAGGCGGAGGUUGCAAUUAGCCAAGAUCGCACCACAGCACUCCAGCCCGGGCGACAACAGCAACACUCCGUCUUGAAAAAAAAAAAAACAAAAAAACCACGAUUCAAGAAAAAGGCAGAUUCUCCUGUGUUCAGCAGCUACUUUAAAAAAAAAAAAAAAAAAAAAGGCACUUCUUGGCCAGGAGUGGUGGAGGACUGCUUGAGCCCAGGAGUUUGAGACCAGCCUGGGGAACAUAGCCAGACCCUGUCUCUACAAAAAUAAAAUUAGCUGAGCAGUUCCAGCUCCUUGGGAGGCUGAGGUGGGAGAAUCACUUGAGCCCGGGAAGUCAAGGCUGCAGUGAGCCGUGACCAUGCCACUGCACUCCAGCCUGGGUGACAGAGCGAGACCCUGCCUGGAAAAAAAACAACAACAACAACAAAAAAGCACUUCCUAAUGAUUGGGGAAAAUAUUAAAUAUUAGGUCAGAGAGUUAAACACUCUUAGAAAUUUUUAAGAAUACAUUUAUUUCACUCAACACUGAAUCUUAAAAUUAUUACUUCUUCAGACCAGGCACGGUGGCUCAGGCCUGUAAUCCCAGCACUUUGGGAGGCGGAGGAGGGCGGAUCACUUGAGCUUAGGAGUUGCAGACCAACCUGCACAGCAUAGUCAAACCCCAUCCCUACCAAAAAAAAAAAAAAAAAAGAAAAUUAUUACUUCCUCUCUCAGGCUUCAAAAUUAAGGAGGAGGGAGGGACAAAUUGGGAUAUCCCAUAGCUGCCUGCAAAAAACACAAUAGCUUAUUCCAUUCUCCCAAGCAGGAUUUAAAAUUUCAAAGUGAAAACAGCAGUCAUAUGUAAUUAUACAUGCUUAACUCUCUCACAUUUUGUAGAAAAACAUACAAAAUACAAAAAAAAAAAAAAAGACUGUAUCAAGUUAGAAAACUUAAAUAGAACACCAAAAUCCAGAUGACCUUGAAGUUUUGCUGGAUCUUAAAAUCACUAGAACUACUUCAAAAUAUAUAAAUAGGCCCCAUUAUGAAAAAUAUAAAUAUGAACAUGAUAAAUAAGCAAGAGAGGAAAGGAAACUGGUCACUCAGAUAAACCAUGACAGGUCCUGGGUAAAAUACAUUUAGACGAUUCGGGGAUGGAGGUACUAGAAUUAGCAAGGCCCUCCCUGCAGCUUGCAACCUGUGGGGAAAAAGCCAAACAGGUGGUAGGCCACGUGUAUUAUUGCUCCUGCCAAAGCCUCCUCUUUCAGAAUCAAAAACCACAAGUAGUUGAGACACUGUGCUUUUCUAUCAAAAUCGCCCUUCACUGGUGAAAAUUAGCCUCCACUGGCAAUGUUCGCUGGGAACUGUACACUCUCCCACUCUUUCUUGUUCCGGUAUCCUACUGACUUUUACAGACCUCGGUAACUUUUUCUGAACCAGGACUCAACUCCUCACUGAGCCAAUGAAAAGCCAUGCUCUGCAGACUUCAGAUGCAGGGCCUAGCAGAGGACUCUGGUCUUAACUCCUGGUCCGUGGCAUUCCACUUACAGCACCGUCUUCCUCAUUUAUUUCAGUAAAGGUCAGAGGUGGGUGCCAGCCACACACCCAUUUCAUAUGUUCAGUUUUACCCACUUGUGUGCUUGACCUUGGACUUAACUUCAAUACUCUGCAUUGCAAUUUGUGAAUCAUCCAUUAAGGCUAAAUCUUAAAAACUAAUCUUUGUCUCCACUGGAGACACAGUAACUAGUAACUAAACCACAAAUCCAGCUUUUUAAGAUUUACCCUGACAGAUUGACUCUCACCCAACAAAAGCUUCCGACAUCCCACUCUACUGCUAAAACAGAAAGUAAAUGAAAGGCUCAGUAGAUGGAAUAAAUUACUCUUCCUCCUCUGCCUCAUACCUACACCCAGCCGCACCAACAAUCUCCUCCGACUACAAAAAAACACUCAAAGUAAACCAGGAAAAAACUAAGGUAGAAAUUUUUAAAAAGCAAAUAAGGCAAGACAAAUAGAAUUCCAAACUGCAUAUAUAUAUAUAAGAUAUAUAUGAUCAUAUAUAUAUAUAUUAUAUAUAUGAUCAUAUAUAUCUUAUAUAUAUUAUAUAUGAUCAUAUAUAUAUAUAAAAUCUUUUAAAUAGAGACAGGGUCUCUUGCUAUGUUGCCCAGGCUAGUUUCAAACUCCUGGGCUCAAGCAAUCCUUCUGCACUGGCCUCCCAAAGUGCUGGGAUUACAGGCAUGAGCCAUGACACCCAGCCCCAAACUGCUGAUAGGUUAUUUUACAAUUAUAAAUUUAUAUCUUGAUGCCACUUACAAAGUUCUAGGCAUUGGUGGGUAACCUGGUUUGCUUUCAAAUGGUCACAGGACAAAGAACUGCCUCCUCACACUCAGAAACGUGUCUAUGAAGGCUAUUUCCAUUUCACAUUUCAGAACCUGAGAGCCUCCAAUACAAGGAAACGAGAGUUAUUUACAAUUUUGAUACACACACGCACCUCAAGAUUUAAGGUUCUAGAUUGAGGAGCCUAGAAAUUUGACUCUAAGGCUUGACCUGCUCACCUAGAUAACCAAAUUAAUGAAGCUACUGGAUACAACCUCAAUAGAGUACAGAGAAAGCUUCUGCACUCCAAGGACUAAGGUAACAUUACUUCCCAAAUCAGAUUAAACCAAAGGGGGAACAGACCUUCACAAGUCACGGCUAUAUAGCAAUUUGGGCCAGGCACAGUGACUCACACCUCCCAGCAUUUGGGGAGGAAGAGAUGGGUAAAUUGUUUGAGCCCAGGGGUUCAAGACCAGCCUGCAAUAUAGCAAACCCCGUCUCUACAAAAAAUACCAAAAAAUUGGCCGGGCAUGGUGGCUCACGCCUGUAAUCCCAGCACUUUGGGAGGCCGAGGCAGGUGGAUCACCUGAGGUCAGGAGUUCCAGACCAGCCUGGCUAACAUGGCAAAACCCCGUCUCUACUAAAAACACAAAAAUUAGCUGGGUGUGGUGGUGGGCGCCUGUAAUCCCAGCUACUCUCGAGGUUGAGGCAGGAGACUCGCUUGAACCCAGGAGGCGGAGGUUGCAGUGAGCCAAGAUGGCACCACUGUACUCCAACCUGGGCAACAAGAAUGAAACUCUGUCUCAAAAAAAAAAAAAAAAAAAAAAUUAGCCAGCCAGGCAUGGUGGUGUGCACUACAGUCCCAGCUACUAUGGAGGUUGAGGUGGGAGGACAGCUGAAGCCCAGGAAGUUGAGGCUGUCAUGAGCCAUGACUGUGCCACUGCACUCCAGCCUGGGUGACAGGAGACCCUGUCUCAAAAAAACAAAAACAAAAACAAUACAUAAUUUGGCUGAAGUCAUCUAGGUUAAUGGUUCUAACUGCAGUCAAGUUCAAUGUAAAAGUACACAAUCCCUUCAGGCUUUCAGAGAAAACCCUGAACACUCAGUUAUACCCUCGCAUGUGAAAAUGAAGAGAAAAAAAGCAGCAAGCGUCAUGAAGAUACAGAAAUAAAUAUGAACUCAUCUGGUUUUGACAUUUUACAAACUAAAUGUGUGAAUCCAAAAGUAUGAUAUCAAGCAGGGAGUGGUGGCUCACACCUGUAAUCCCAGCACUUUGGGAGGCCAAGACAGGUGGAUCACUUGAGGCCAGGAGUUCGAGACUACCUUGGGCAACAUGGCAAAACUCCAUCUCUACUGAAAAUACAAAAAUUAGCCAGGCAUAGUGGCACAGGCCUGUAAUCCCAGCUACUCAGGAGGCUGAGGUACGGGAACUGCUUCAGCCUGGGAGGUGGAGGUUGCAGUGAGCCAAGAUCGUGCCACUGCACUCCAGCCUGGGUGACAGAGCAAGACUGUCUGGGGAAAAAAAAAAAAAAAAAAAAAAGACAUAUUACAACAGUGCCAGACCAGAAAAAUGACGGGUGGUUCACAACACUGAUCACAGACUGAGGUUCAGCUUGUUUCAAAGCAAUGUUCUCUGUUGUCAACAAUCAGAUUUGGGUCACCCACAUGCUAGCAAGCUAAUCUGACUAGGCUGAUCAGGCCUAAAGCUUGGAUUUUUAUUUGUGGACUUUGCAAUGAACUAUGGUCAACAUCACAAAAGGAGUCCUUUAUACUCAAUCUUCUAAAACAAUCCUUAAAAGAAAAACUACAGAGGAUCACCUUGGCUAGGGCAAAAGAAAAAUGCUUCCUUUUCAAAACCCUUCACAUUCUAGAGAGUAAAUCUUGAAGAAAAUAUGGGUUUUUAAUCAAUGAAUCUGAGACAUUGAAUCUUCAUUUAAAAGAAAACAAAAACAGGAUAAACAUAAGAGCCUGAAGACAUAAGGGAGUUCUACUUGUCCAUAUACCAUGCUGAAAAGGAAAUACUUUGGGUGUAUUUUACAAAACACCCAAAGCCUGUCUGAAGGAAUGCCCUUCCGAAUUCUGAGGAUACAAAAGCCCUGUCCUAAGCUUUUUCUAAUCUAUAAACAGAAUUUCAGACCAGAUCUGAAGAACUUGUGCCAUAAAUAAUGCCUCUUGUCUGUACAGAGCUUUUUAGCUUUGUGGUGCUGUUUUUUUUUGGUCCAUCAGCUCCUUCUAAUCCCAACAAGUACCCAGUGAGGGAGGCACGUCAGCCAAAAUCAUCAUCUCUGUCUUGCAUGUAAGAACAAGAGAGGUCAAAUAGCUCAAAACUCACAAAGCAGGAGAGACCUGCAAGAGGACUCAAGUCUGAUGUUCCCCUUGCCAGAAUUAUUAUUUAAAAUUGCAGACAUGUAGAUAAGGCCCAAAUUAAAAUGCAGGUUUUCAACCUCCAAACUCAGAAUCUCUGGUGAUGAAUUUUUAUAAAUACAUUAUGUCAAACAAGUUCCCCAUGUGAUUCUGAAGCCCAUCAGUUUGAGAAUCAUCAGCAUGAACAAUGAUCCAAAUUGAGCCAGAGAACCCAUUUGUUUACCUAUCCUUCAUGAAACACAGAACCUGCCAAGCAAACCAAGCAGCAAAGACUGUAUGUGCUUCAAAUUCAAGAGCCAGGUCAAUGCACUUGGUCAGAUACCCACAGUUUUGGCUUCUCUCUUUACCAAGGUAACUUCUCAAUUGACAGUAGCCAACAGUAUCUUCACAAACUCCUUGCACUCCUGGAAGGUAUCUUCUUGUAGAUGACCAAUACAUAUGGUGUCAAAUUCCUUCUGAAGGUAUUUAACACUUUAAGGGAGGUAUCAUACCAUUAACUAUGGGUGCAACCCUUGUCAAGAUCAUCAGGUUGGGUUUAUAGAGCAUCCAUAACCAUGACUCUACAUAUCCUACAACACACUAUCUCUGCCCAUUUAACUUUAUUUCUGACAGAAAAUGGCAGCAAGUCUCCUUUUGAACUCAUUUCUAAUAGCAUAUAAUUUUAUAAGGGAGAAAAAAAUGGUGACAAUUUUAGAUUAUUUUAUAGAUUAAGAUCAUGUUAACUGACUUUGAAACAUACUUUCAGGGCUGGGUGCAGUGGCUCACACCUGUAAUCCCAGCACUUUAGGAGGUCAAGGUGGGAGGAUCACUUGAGCCCAGGAGUUCAAGACAAGCCUGGGCAACAUAAGGGGACCCCAUCUCUACAAAAAAUACAAAGUUUAGCUGGGCAUGGUGGUGCAUGCCUGUAGUCCCCACUACUCACGAGGCUGAGGUGGGAGGAUCGCUUGAACCCAAGAGGGCAAGGCUGCAGUGAGCCAAGAUCAUGCCACUGCACUCCAGACUGGGCAACAGAGGGAGACCCUGUCUCAAAAAAGAAAGGAAGAAAGAAUCACACCUUCAGAAAAAAAAAAAAAAAAAAUCUCCCCACAGUCAUCUGCCAAGCACUGUCCUGCUAUAUUUCUCAGAAGGAAAUGCCCUGAAAAGGCUUCACAGCAGAUAGGCCAGGCCUUGGACUUCCGAGAGGAAAAACCUCUUACAGCAACGAGAAUUUUAAAAAGCAGGAGGCUGUACAAUAUAAUGUGAAUGAAGAAAAAAGAAGUCAGCUUAGAAAUAAGCACAUCUGAAAAAUCAGUAAAGGAUGUGAAAAGAUCAGUCCUCACUGAAGAAAGAAGCACUGGUUUCCCAUCACUUGAACCUAACAGCAUAUACCCAGGGCAAGACAAAUUUCAGAAGACAUGAUACUCUUGAAAUACAGAAUUUUAUUUAGAAACUGUUUAAAGUAGAAAAAAACCCUGUCAAGAAAGACCAGGUGGAAAAUGGGUUCCCAAUAAAA
rnacentral:lncRNA from 1 species